CGGACGGGUGAGUAAUGUAUGGGGAUCUGCCUGAUGGCGGGGGAUAACUACUGGAAACGGUAGCUAAUACCGCAUAACGUCGCAAGACCAAAGCGGGGGACCUCCGGGCCUCGCGCCAUCAGAUGAACCCAUAUGGGAUUAGCUUGUAGGUAAGGUAACGGCUUACCUAGGCGACGAUCCCUAGCUGGUCUGAGAGGAUGAUCAGCCACACUGGAACUGAGACACGGUCCAG
rnacentral:rRNA from 1 species